GUCAUACUUGGUGUGAAUUUCUAGAAUACCCGUGAACCAUCGAGUCUUUGAACGCAAGUUGCGCCCCAAGCCUUCUGGCCAAGGGCAUGUCUGCCUGGGUGUCA
rnacentral:rRNA from 1 species